UGGGGGAUAUUGCACAAUGGAGGAAACUCUGAUGCAGCAACGCCGCGUGAAGGAUGAAGGUCUUCGGAUUGUAAACUUUUGUACUUGGGGACGAUAAUGACGGUACCCAAGCAGCAAGCUCCGGCUAACUACGUGCCAGCAGCCGCGGUAAUACGUAGGGAGCAAGCGUUGUCCGGAUUUACUGGGUGUAAAGGGUGCGUAGGCGGCUAUGCAAGUCAGUUGUGAAAACUAUGGGCUCAACCCAUAGCCUGCAAUUGAAACUGCGUGGCUUGAGUGAAGUAGAGGUAGGUGGAAUUCCCGGUGUAGCGGUGAAAUGCGUAGAGAUCGGGAGGAACACCAGUGGCGAAGGCGACCUACUGGG
rnacentral:rRNA from 1 species